CUGAAGUUCAUGUCUGUGGUUUAGAGAAAGAUGGCAGUGUGGGUUAAAUUGUUAUGUCUCAAGUCUUUGUGGAUUUUUUCUGUCUAAAAGCAGGCCACCAUCUUUUCUGAGCUAAAAAGCUGCUACUGGAGUCAAAACAGAACAAUCAAAGGUCUAAUAUUGCUGCAGUUGUAUAUUUUUGUGGUCCUCUUUGAAGACUUGAAGCUGGUGUACAGUGAUAACACGUCCUGUCGCUGUGUGUCUGGAGGCGGGGGAACUGCUGCGGUGACCUUUAAAUUGAAAUCACCAUCACAGCGUCAUCCUGUCAACUGAUCGUCUGCUGAGCAACAUGAAUCUACUGCUUCUGAUCUGUGUGAGCGCGCUCUGUGUCACAGCUGGAGCUCUGCUGGUUCAGACUCCACCUUUUCUAUCAGUGCCGGCUGGAUCAAAAGUGAACCUCCAGUGUGACGUCACUGAGACAGGUGGGCGGUGCUCUGAGGUGGCGUGGCUGCACGUCGGACAGGUGAGCAACCUCAGAGUCUCAAGCGUUGUGUCUGGAGCUGAUAGAGGGAAGGUGUGUCGGCUGGAGAUCUCCAAGGCCACCCUGCAGGACGUCGGCAGGCAUUACUGCGUCUACAUCAACGGACUCCUGCUGCAGAUCAGUAGCGGGACCAUGCUGACUGUUACAGAGUCGCAGCUCCAAAGUCCUGCAGUCGAGCUCCUGGUCCCCUCAGACGUCAACUCGUUCCUCCCCAUCCCGUUGACCUGUCUGGUGUCUGGAGUGAAGGACCCUGAUCAGGUCACGGUGGACUGGGAGGUGGUUGGGGCUGAUGGCAUCCAGCAGCUCAGUCCCACCAUCCUCCCCGUCAGCCAGGCGGUCGUCAUCAGCCAACAGGUUCAUGUUCCUGCAGAGAGCUGGUCUGCAGGAGUGGAGGUGUCCUGUGUGCUGAAUGACGGAGAGCUGAGCAUCAGAAAGACUGUCAGCAGCAGACUAGGAAAGUCCAGUCAGUGUGUGCUGCUGGCCUCCAUCACUGGUGCCGUGUGUGUCGUCCUGUUGACCGUCGCCAUGGCGCUCAGCGUCCUGUUGUUGUGCCGACAGAGGCGAAUCCGAGGAAAAUCAGAGGGUCCACCAAAUAUCAGUGAAGAGGCUUCAGCAGAGCUUCAUUAUGCCGCUCUGAGAUUUAAACCUUCAGACAGAAGAAACGUCCCCUGAAAUCAGCUUAUCUUCUGCUGCUUCUUCAAACCUUACAUUUGAGGACUGCCAACGAUACUGAGUAGCUAAAGCUUUUUCUUUCAAAAUACGAGUUUAAAUCACCAACUUAAAAUGAACAAAAAGACCUUUACGUUCUGUAAACUGGACAAACUGAGUUUUCUCAGUGCUGAAAUGAGGGAGUUUUGUGUUUGUUCCAUUAAAAGUUACUUUUUGAAAAUUUUCUUGCAGCUUUAGAUCUGAUCGCAAUGCC
ensembl:lncRNA